rnacentral:lncRNA from 1 species
CCGCCAACAACAAUACGACACAAACGUUCAAGAUCACUUGGAUCUAGACUCAAGGUGUUAAGGAAGAAAAAAACUAACAUAAGAAACACUCAAAACAAGAAAAAGACACCUAUAUCUAAACACACAACAUUCGCCCAAGACAACACAACAAUAAGGACUCACUUCUCGGCCAAGAACACCAACACAUAUAACAGUUUUUCUUUAAUUUUCUACCAAACGAGCCCAAGAUUGGUCUUCCGGGAACAAAACCAGCCUUAUAUUUGAUACAAAAUCAACCAAAAAAUGACACAAAACAGCCCACAACAUGACACAAAACAGUCCACUCAUGAGAUGACCAAACAACACCAAAAAUAGAAACA